UUGGAGUUCUUCAUGAUUGGUGUGAACCUUUCGAUACAUAUCCAAGAACAUACGAUCUAUUGCAUGCAUCUGGUCUUUUUUCAUCCGAGAUGAAAAGAUGCAGUAUGUCAACAAUCAUGCUCGAGAUGGAUCGGAUCUUAAGGCCUGGGGGCCAUGUGUACAUUCGUGAUACUGUUGCUGUCAUGGAUGAGCUUCAAGCCAUUGGAAAGGCGAUGGGUUGGCGUGUUACCCUGCGUGAUACAUCCGAAGGACCCCAUGCGAG
rnacentral:misc_RNA from 1 species